UAACAACUCACCUGCCGAAGCAACUAGCCCUGAAAAUGGAUGGCGCUCUAGCGUCGUGCCUAUACCGGGCCGUCAACGGCAAAGCGGGCUGCUGCCCGGCCGGUUAACGCCGGCCGGCUCGGCCGUUAAGCCUUGACGAGUAGGAGGCGCGCGGCGGUGUGCGCAGAAGGGUCUGGGCGCGAGCCUGCCUGGAGCCGCCGCCGGUGCAGAUCUUGGUGGUAGUAGCAAAUACUCUAGCGAGGGCCUGGAGGGCUGAUGUGGAGAAGGGUUUCUUGUGAACAGCCGUUGCACAAGAGUCAGUCGACCCUAAGCCCUAGGAGAAAUCCGAUGUUGAUGGGCGGCUAUCGAUCGGUCUGGUCCCAACUCUCUCAUUCAAAAUGAGGAGCGGCAAGGCCUUCCGAACGCUCCCGUCGGGCGAAAGGGAAUCCGGUUCCUAUUCCGGAACCCGGCUGCGGAACCGUCACUUCGCGGGCACUCGCCUGCGAGAGCUCGUCGGGGUAACCCAAAAUGACCCGGAGACGCCGGCGGGAGGUCUGGAAAGAGUUGUCUUUUCUUUAUAAGCGUUCGAGUUCCCUGGAAUCCUAUAGCAGGGAGAUAGGGUUUGGAACGCGAAGAGCACCGCAGUUGCGGCGGUGUCCGGACCUUCCCCCCGGACCUUGAAAAUCCGGGUGAGGGCUACGCGGAAAUGUCGCGCCGGCUCGUACCCAUAUCCGCAGCAGGUCUCCAAGGUUAAGAGCCUCUAGUCGAUAGAAUAAUGUAGGUAAGGGAAGUCGGCAAAU
rnacentral:rRNA from 1 species